AUAAACAUAAAAUUAGAUUGGAUUCAUUGACAAAUUAAUGAAGAAUACGAUAGUUUGCUUGAUAACGUAUCAAAAGUCGGUCGCGCGAUAUCGGGUCGAUCGGUAACAGCUGGAAACAUAAUCAGAGAAAAAGUAAGAUAAAAACAACAGCGUAAAGUACAAGUACAUCGAAGACAUUUGAUCUCCGUGUAGAUAGAAUAUGUAGCAACAUCGUAAUAAAGAUUCAUUUGUCAGUGGUAUCGUUUCUAGCUUCAUAAUUUUCUUCAUCAAUUAAUUUUGUGUUUAUCUUAGACCUUGUCAAUUUAUUUUUGAUUAUAUACUGAUUAUAUACUGAUAAUAUACUGAUAAUACAGUGUAAGAAGUUGCGAAUUGUCUAUUGUCAGUAUGGGUGAGCAGAAAAAUUCGACAUAACAAUGUGAAAUCGUUUAAACAUCGAUGGUGAUUAUUUUUCGAAUUGGAGCAUCGAACCAAAGUGCAGAACCCAAAGUAUCUGCUGCGAUAUUAUCAAAACAGAGUCGUGUGUUUGCAACGGCAUUGCGAUGACCGAGCUCGAGUUACGACGCAUCCGCUUUCGGUCGCAGCCUGCCAAGUUAAGUUCGUGCGUGCUCGUAGUAACCCGGCGACGGUAGCCGACGAGAGGUCACGUACGAGUUGAUGUGAGCCAUUGUUUACUACGCAAUCCAUCACAUCGACGUCAAUGUCGAUGAUCGGUUGGCGCGCGAUUAUGUGCGUCGCGCCUAACGUUCUUAUCCGUGCGCACCUUCGAAAUCGCGAUCCGCCACUGGCGCGCCGCGGCUCUCGUCAGUACGAUUUCGCGCGUGCAACAGCGACAAUCGCGUCUCGCGUACCGCGCCUGCCGUCGACGACGAGGACGACGACGACGGAGUCGACGAGAGGGAAGCCGCGGCUCCGUGCAACCGUGUCGCGCGCGCAGAAAACCCGCGUUCCCGUUCGUAUCGCGUGCGCGAGUGUACCUCGUGUGCCGUAACGCCGCGGCACGGCGUCCGCUGGCUCGAUCACGUGGUCUGCGGUGGCUGUGCGACGACUUCUGUGUGUGAACGAAUCGGAGCGGAUCGAUAAGGGUGGCGAAUCGCGCGAAAUGGCACGCAGCGGCACGCCGUACGGCGAGAUCUGACGCUGGUCGCCGCGACGACGACGUCUGCACCGACGCCGAAUCGGGAUUGUGACAACCUGGCGGACAGUUCGGAGCGAGACUCCCCUUGGAGUUGUGGGGGUGGUAGCGGUGGUGGCCGCAGACCCCUCACCUCCAUUAUCGAACACCUACGCACCUCCAAAAGCAGACUUCACAAUGGAUUGUACAACUAUUCCGACGGAGGCUCGUUUGCCUAUGAUUUCGAUCGGAGAGAACGGAGACGGUUGCGACGCCACUGUGAGUGCAUCCGAGCAACAAGAGCACGCAUAACGUAGAUGCAACGCUCCGCAACACCGGAUUGCCGAGGGCGCGCUCCUUCUCCGCAAGAAUCGGAGGUGAAGGGGGCAACAUCGGGGACCACGAAGAGGGGCACCGGGGGGAAGAGAGGUCGACCGGGAUAAACAUCUGAGCCCCGCCCGGCACCCGAGGCUGCACCUCUUGUUGCUCUUCUCUCUACCUUGCCUCUCCUCUCCCGCUUCUUCUUCUUCUUCUUCGUCUUCUUCUGCCUCUUCUUCUUCAUCUUCCUUCUCGUCUCUUCCUGCAUUUCCCUCUCUCUCGCCCGUUUCUCGACGACCGGCACGCCGACAUUAUUAAUCCUGGGUGCAGUUCGCGAGUGUCGAUAUGUAGCAUUUCGCGCGUCUCGCAUUUUACGACGUUACGCCUCUUUCUGGUUUCCUUAAUUGUAUUUCAUUUCUAGAGCUUACUCAGCUUUCGAAUUGCAAUUCCGCCGCACUUCUUUUGACGACAGCUUGUCUUACGACAGAGAAUACGUCGAGAAUAUGGACAAUUUGGACCAACGAUUGAAAUUGAUUCAGAAUUGUGGAAUUUUCAAAUGGCAUUUCACGCGAUGCAAGUUUUUCCUACCUUCGUUCUUGAAGUAUUAAAGUUGUUGUUUACUCGUUUGACUCGAAAUUAGAUUGGCCGUUACUUCAGUGUAGCUUGAAAAAAAAUUAAAUUCCACGGUGGAAGCAUUUGACGCGGAGCAUUAUCUUUGUUUAAAAAACGGAAAAUGUCUUGCCGUUGCAAACGCCGCUGUUGGCUGCUAUGUCAUUUGGAGUCAUGAUAGUGUUACACAGAUAUAGAAAUCUCCGCGCCGGCCAGCGAUCUUGCGUACUUUUUUCAUCGAAUCCUCUUCGCGCGUGAUGCUUCACUUAUCUGCUCGACUGCGUUUCCGUUUGUUUUCAUCUUUCUCCGGCGAGCUGCACGAGCACUUUUUUUUACUACCACAUAUACAUAGGUACUUAUUUGUCACGCUCAAUGCUAUCAUAUUUCUUAAACAAGCGCAGGAGAAAAACUGCCACGCCGAGAAGUGCCGCUUCUCUCAGCUCUCGUUCACGUUUGGCAUUCGUCCCGCGGGAGAUCACUUCCGACCGCGACGCACAUACGCAUUCUCACACUUUCGCUGCGCGGAGGGACCUCAGUGAGUCCGCGUAUUGAAUAGUUUACGGCUUUUAAAUAAGCGGCCCCUCAACUCGUUCCCAAACAAUUUGCCCAUACCGCAGAUUGCUCGUAAAUAAAGAUAAUCUUUUCUACCCGGAAGAUAAAA
rnacentral:misc_RNA from 1 species